rnacentral:sRNA from 1 species
UGACAUGGUUAUAGCUUGGUUUCUACGUUCAACAAAACUCGGGCUACUUGUUGUAUACCUUGACAAGAUUCUACUAAAUCUUUUUUCAGACUUCCAGUCAAGUCUUCUAGGGUUCUUAAGUCGGGUUUUUAUUUCGGGUUCUGAUUGUCUGAUUCUAAAGUCUCUUUAGAGUUUGUCAUUUGUUUUUGUUGGUGUGAUUGACGUCCUCAUUCCUAAGUCCGAACACUAU